rnacentral:rRNA from 1 species
GACAGAGGUGCCGAGCGUUAGGCGGAAUCACUGGGCUUAAAGCGUGUGUAGGCGGAUUGGUAAGUACCUUGUGAAAUCCCACGGCUUAACCGGGGAACUGCGUCUGAUACUGGAUGGCUGGAGUGUGGGAGAGGGAUGCGGAAUUCCAGGUGUAGCGGUGGAAUGCGUAGAUAUCUGGAGGAACACCGGUGGCGAAGGCGGCAUCCUGGACCAUUACUGACACUGAAAAGCGAAAGCCAGGGGAGCAAACGGG